rnacentral:lncRNA from 7 species
ACAUAGCAGCUGCCUGUUGGACCAGAAGCUGCUCAGGAGCAUGUGGGAAGAUCAGGAAGGCUUAUCAGAUAGUGUGCAGUAGUGAAACUGCCUUGUAAGGCAUAGUGUGGGAGACAGGGGUACUCUAGUGAAGACCAAGCUGAGAGCUUGCCAGGACAUUCCCUGUGUCUUGGUAGUCCUCAAGUCUGGCCCAGUAGCCAUACUUCAGUCUGAUCUGGACCAAAGAAAGAGACAGAGGUGAUAUAAAUGGGUCCAAUUUGGAGAAAUGGAAAGCAAGAUACCUUUGGGAUCUUGGGCUACUGGAAGAUUAUGAACCCCUCCACUGGUGUGUUUAUUUCUGAUCAGCAAUGAGUCUGAAAUGAUCUCCAUAAAGAUCCAGAUCCCUGUGAGAGAGACGGAGAAACUGCAGCAUGGUCAUGCUUUUUACUGUCAUAUCUCUUCAUCUAUAUCCCCAGUGAAGACUGAAGGCCAAAUCUAUUCACAACAUUCCAUGCCAAGACUUACCAUUAUGGAAUAGAGAAGAAAAAGGUUUAUCUCUGGUACUGUAUAAAGACUGCAGGAUGACAUUUUUGUCUCUUGACAAAAUUCACUUCUCCAUGACUGAAUGUUUAAGUUGCCUAUAGCUUCCAGAUCUUGAUAUGUGGUGAUGUUCCAAGGGAGCUCCCACCUGUUAGACUUGUAUGCCUUUGUAUUGUCUGUUAUACGUUUCUGUGCUCGUCUCAGUUAAAAAUAACUUCUUUGCAUUUCUGACCAUUUCUGCAGUUUGCCAAGAAAACAUGAAUCUUGAUCAUUUCUGAAGUUUCUGAAAAUGUUCUUUAGAUAAUGCCAUAUGCUUGUUCUAAACAGGUACUGCCCUGUCUGUUAUAGAGGCUUUUCAACUGUGGGAACAUCUCCACCAUACUGCCCAUAGCAAAUCUCCCUUUUAUGUCUUCAGGCUGUUGAUAGUGUUUUUUGAGUACUUUUUACAAGUAGUCCUGUAAGUACUUGAUUUUCAGUGGUCAUGCCCAGGUUCCAGGAGCUCAGUUUGCUGAUGAAAAUGGCUUACGGGCAUGUGUUACAAACCUUAGAAAAGUUUUGUUACAUCAGGUUUUCAUGUUCCCUCCAUCCACUGUACCAAGAAUUCUGGCAUUGGAGGAGAUCUGAUUGAACUGACAUGAUUUGUUCUCUGCAAAUUCCUGUUUUGUUGUAUCCCUUGGCUUGCUUACAAGUGGUUUGGUGAAUAAUGUAUUCUAGUAUGUUUCUAGGCAUCAAAGUGAAACUUAGACUAGCU